AUCAAUUACCUUCUUCUGGAUUUUCUCCCAGGUGUUCCCAGAUGUGACCAUUCUUUUCAGUGACGUGGUGGGAUUCACUCGCAUUUGCAGCCACAUCACUCCCUUGCAGGUGGUAUCCAUGCUCAAUACCAUGUACACUUUGUUUGACACACUCAGCGAGAAGCACAGAGUCUUCAAGGUUGAGACCAUCGGAGACGCCUACAUGGUGGUCGCGGGCGCUCCGGAGAAGACCAAGUAUCACGC